UACGGAGGGGACUAGCGUUGUUCGGAAUUACUGGGCGUAAAGCGCACGUAGGCGGAUUGUUAAGUCAGGGGUGAAAUCCCGAGGCUCAACCUCGGAACUGCCUUUGAUACUGGCAAUCUCGAGUCCGGAAGAGGUGAGUGGAAUUCCUAGUGUAGAGGUGAAAUUCGUAGAUAUUAGGAAGAACACCAGUGGCGAAGGCGGCUACCUGGACAGAAACUGACGCUGAGGCACGAAAGCUAGGGGAGCAAACAGG
rnacentral:rRNA from 1 species